rnacentral:rRNA from 1 species
UACAGAGGGGGCAAGCGUUGUUCGGAAUUACUGGGCGUAAAGGGCGCGUAGGCGGCCUUCUAAGUCGAACGUGAAAUCCCCGGGCUCAACCCGGGAACUGCGUCCGAGACUGGAAGGCUUGAAUCCGGGAGAGGGAUGUGGAAUUCCAGGUGUAGCGGUGAAAUGCGUAGAUAUCUGGAGGAACAUCGGUGGCGAAGGCGGCAUCCUGGACCAACACUGACGCUGAGUGAGCGAAAGCCAGGGGAGCAAACGGG